rnacentral:lncRNA from 1 species
UGAAAAUAAAACACAAAGUAAACCAGAUAACAUAUUUACACAUUUAUUUACAAUAUUGUAGCCYUUUUCUCUUCAUGUACAUCUCUGAAGUAAACCUUUAGUAGACUGGUAACAAUGAUGACAGAAGGCAUAGUCCAUUCAAAACAGAUAUUUUGAGAUCGUGACUAAAUAGUAAAUAUAUUAUCCACAAUAAAUAUGUAACAAAGGUGUAUUAACGUCAUAUGUAACUCCUGAGUGAGUGUGCGRGUUUGUGUGUACAUUGCAGUACAAAAUACAGAUUUUGUUUUUUUUGUUUUUACAUUUAAAGUAUUAUGUGAUGUAAACAACUAAAUGUAAUCUUACAAUCUCCUGAACACUAGCUAAUGUACAUGCUGGCAUAUCCUUCAUUCACAUCCUCUGUAAGAGUUCAUUACUGCAGUGGUUCCCAACCAGUGGUACUAAGACCCCUGGGUGUACCUGGUCUAUCCACAGGGGUACUUGAGAAGACUCAUGAGACCAUAGGUUUACUGGUCAAAUACACAUGAGCGGGUACUCUAGGCAGAGCAAAAUUCAGUUGGUGGUACAGUAACCAAAAAAUGGUUAGGAACCACUGCAUUAGUGCAUACUAGACCUUAGGUAGCCUAGUACAGUAUGAACAGAAUCAGAUUAAUCCAACAUGAUCUAAAUAAAGUUUGGUUGUAUGUGAGUCCUUCAUAUCAAACCACCUCAAGUCCUUCAUAUCAAACCACCUCAAGUCCUUCAUAUCAAACCACCUCAAGUCCUUCAUAUCAAACCACAUCAAGUCCUUUAUCAAAUCACCUCAAUGUCCUUCAUACAAACCACCUCAAGUCCUUCAACAAACCACCUCAAGUCCUUCAUAUCAAAACACCUCAUGUCCUUCAUAUCAAACCAGCCUCAAGUCCUUCAUAUCAAACCACCUCAUCAACACCAAGUCCUUCAUAUCAAACCACCUCAAGUCCUUCAUAUCAAACCACCUCAAGUCCUCAUAUCAAACCACCUCAAGUCCUUCAUACAAACCACCUCAAGUCCUUCAUAUCAAACCACCUCAAGUCCUUCAUAUCAAACCACCUCAGUCCUUCAUAUCAAACCACCUCAAGUCCUUAUCAAACCACCACCACCUCAAUGUCUUCAUAUCAAACCACCUCAAUGUCCUUCAUAUCAAACCACCCAAGUCCUUCAUAUCAAACCACCUCAAGUCCUUCAUAUCAAACCACCUCAAGUCCUUCAUAUUUAACCACCUCAAGUCCUUUAUCAAACCACCUCAUGUCGUUCAUAUCAAACCACCUCAUGUCCUUCAUAUCAAACCACCUCAAGUCCUUCAUAUCAAACCACCUCAAGUCCUUCAUAUCAAACCACCUCAAGUCCUUCAUAUUUAACCACCUCAUGUCGUUCAUAUCAAACCACCCUCAAGUCCUUCAUAUUUAA